rnacentral:rRNA from 1 species
UACGUAGGGUGCAAGCGUUGUCCGGAAUUAUUGGGCGUAAAGAGCUUGUAGGCGGUUUGUCGCGUCUGCCGUGAAAAUUCGAGGCUCAACCUCGAACUUGCGGUGGGUACGGGCAGACUAGAGUGUGGUAGGGGAGACUGGAAUUCCUGGUGUAGGCGGUGAAAUGCGCAGAUAUCAGGAGGAACACCGGUGGCGAAGGCGGGUCUCUGGGCCGAUAUUGACGCUGAGGAGCGAAAGCGUGGGGAGCGAACAGG